UACGAGGGGGGCGAGCGUUGUUCGGAAUUAUUGGGCGUAAAGGGUGCGUAGGCGGUUUUGUAAGUCUUAUGUGAAAUCUAUGGGCUCAACUCAUAGACUGCAUGAGAAACUGCAGGGCUUGAGUAUGGGAGAGGUGAGUGGAAUUCCUGGUGUAGCGGUGAAAUGCGUAGAUAUCAGGAGGAACACCUGUGGCGAAGGCAGCUCGCUGGGACGGUACUGACGCUGAGACGCGAAAGCGUGGGGAGCGAACAGG
rnacentral:rRNA from 1 species